rnacentral:rRNA from 1 species
UACGAAGGGGGCUAGCGUUGCUCGGAAUCACUGGGCGUAAAGGGCGCGUAGGCGGACUGUUAAGUCGGGGGUGAAAGCCCGGAGCUCAACUCCGGAAUUGCCUUCGAUACUGGCAGUCUCGAGACCGGAAGAGGUAAGUGGAACUGCGAGUGUAGAGGUGAAAUUCGUAGAUAUUCGCAAGAACACCAGUGGCGAAGGCGGCUUACUGGUCCGGUUCUGACGCUGAGGCGCGAAAGCGUGGGGAGCAAACAGG